UGGGGAAUAUUGCACAAUGGGCGCAAGCCUGAUGCAGCCAUGCCGCGUGUAUGAAGAAGGCCUUCGGGUUGUAAAGUACUUUCAGCGGGGAGAAAGGGAGUAAAGUUAAUACCUUUGCUCAUUGACGUUACCCGCAGAAGAAGCACCGGCUAACUCCGUGCCAGCAGCCGCGGUAAUACGGAGGGUGCAAGCGUUAAUCGGAAUUACUGGGCGUAAAGCGCACGCAGGCGGUUUGUUAAGUCAGAUGUGAAAUCCCCGGGCUCAACCUGGGAACUGCAUCUGAUACUGGAAAGCUUGAGUCUCGUAGAGGGGGGUAGAAGUCCAGGUGUAGCGGUGAAAUGCGUAGAGAUCUGGAGGAAUACCGGUGGAGAAGGCGGCCCCCUGGACGAAGACUGACGCUCAGGUGCGAAAGCGUGGGGAGCAAACAGG
rnacentral:rRNA from 1 species